rnacentral:rRNA from 2 species
UACGGAGGAUGCAAGCGUUAUCCGGAAUCAUUGGGCGUAAAGCGUCCGCAGGUGGCACUUCAAGUCUGCUGUCAAAGGUCGGGGCUUAACUCCGAACAGGCAGUGGAAACUGAAGCGCUCGAGUGCGGUAGGGGCAGAGGGAAUUCCUGGUGUAGCGGUGAAAUGCGUAGAGAUCAGGAAGAACACCGGUGGCGAAAGCGCUCUGCUAGGCCGCAACUGACACUCAGGGACGAAAGCUAGGGGAGCGAAUGGG